GACGAACGCUGGCGGCGUGCUUAACACAUGCAAGUCGAACGGUGAAGCGCCUUCCUUUUUGGUGGGUGUGGAUGAGUGGCGAACGGGUGAGUAACACGUGAGUAACCUGCCCCCUUCUUCUGGAUAACCGCAUGAAAGUGUGGCUAAUACGGGAUAUUCUGGGUCUGUCGCAUGAUGGGUCUGGGAAAGAUAUUGUUUCGGUGGGGGAUGGGCUCGCGGCCUAUCAGCUUGUUGGUGGGGUGAUGGCCUACCAAGGCGGUGACGGGUAGCCGGCCUGAGAGGGUGGACGGUCACACUGGGACUGAGACACGGCCCAGACUCCUACGGGAGGCAGCAGGGGGGAAUAUGGCACAAUGGGCGCAAGCCUGAUGCAGCGACGCCGCGUGAGGGAUGGAGGCCUUCGGGUUGUGAACCUCUUUCGCCAGUGAAGCAGGCCUGCCUCGUUUGUGGGUGGGUUGACGGUAGCUGGAGAAGAAGCGCCGGCUAACUACGUG
rnacentral:rRNA from 1 species